CACCGUGAGGUGGAAUCUGAAGGAAGCCGGAUGUGGGAACAGACUAACCACGGGCAAAUCUCUGGUCUGACGAACAGAAAUCUCAUAUAAGGUCAUUCAAUCGGAUAUGGAAAGAAAGAGACAGUGCACAGCCGAGACUUUUGGAAGCGAUACUGUAUAAAGACAACAUUAA
rnacentral:ncRNA from 1 species